rnacentral:rRNA from 1 species
AACGAACGCUGGCGGCAUGCCUAACACAUGCAAGUCGAACGAGACCUUCGGGUCUAGUGGCGCACGGGUGCGUAACGCGUGGGAACCUGCCCUUAGGUUCGGAAUAACUCCCCGAAAGGGGUGCUAAUACCAGAUAAUGUCUUCGGACCAAAGAUUUAUCGCCUUUGGAUGGGCCCGCGUUGGAUUAGCUAGUUGGUAGGGUAAAAGCCUACCAAGGCGACGAUCCAUAGCUGGUCUGAGAGGAUGAUCAGCCACACUGGGACUGAGACACGGCCCAGACUCCUACGGGAGGCAGCAGUGGGGAGUAUUGGACAAUGGGCGAAAGCCUGAUCCAGCAAUGCCGCGUGAGUGAUGAAGGCCUUAGGGUUGUAAAGCUCUUUUACCCGGGAUGAUAAUGACAGUACCGGGAGAAUAAGCUCCGGCUAACUCCGGG